rnacentral:rRNA from 1 species
UACAGAGGGGGCAAGCGUUGUUCGGAAUUACUGGGCGUAAAGGGCGCGUAGGCGGCCCGCUAAGUCGAACGUGAAAUCCCCGAGCUCAACUCGGGAACUGCGUCCGAUACUGGCGGGCUUGAAUCCGGGAGAGGGAUGCGGAAUUCCAGGUGUAGCGGUGAAAUGCGUAGAUAUCUGGAGGAACACCGGUGGCGAAGGCGGCAUCCUGGACCGAUACUGACGCUGAGGAGCGAAAGCCAGGGGAGCAAACGGG